rnacentral:lncRNA from 1 species
GUGAGCUGAGAGACUAUAGGCGCUUUCGCAUCGCGUAGUUCAAGGAACUAGCCAGCAGGGUCGUUCCUAGAGAACCAAUUUCUCCAUCGGGCCGUUUUCCUGGUUGCAUUCGCACCAGCAGCAGGAUUGGCGGCAUUAACAAACAUCAACAACCGGUGAAUGUUCGGAGCUGUUUUUUUGUUGCGUGCUGUGGGUUUCGUGACAACGGAGAUGGAAUAGCCUAUAAACGCACAAUUUAUGCGAUUGAAAGAACAUGAAAAUCUACUAAAUCUCCUAUGACAAUUUGUAGUGUUAUCAUCGAGGCUGAGAAAAGAACACAACGCUGCAGACAACAGAAUGCCCUGCAAAUCAGGAAAUAUCAUGCGAAAACCUGCGCUCGUCCAAUAGAUACAUAUAUACACUGUGCCACUGGAGAUCCCGUGCUCUGAAAAGUGCGAACAAGGAUGGUACUAUCAGAAUGGGACGUUUAUUGUCGACUCAACUCCGAAUGCCGGUGGAAGGAGGUUACCGGUUGUAGUGGAUGUAACGCCUCAGAAUCUGACAAUCCGUGUCUGCGAGAAUCUGCAGUGGCAACUUGACUGUGGCAAGGUAGUAAUGAGUGUUGGUUUCAUUUACACACAAUAAAUAAGCCUGUCU